rnacentral:lncRNA from 1 species
UUUGGUUCAGUUGGGCGGUUUGAAGUGUUUUGGAGUCGUGUGGAGUUCUGUGGUUCAGCUGGUGGCUGGGUUUACGGGAAUGUGACUCUGUGUUUUCUGAUGGGUUAUGGGGGGAGAACGGGACUUGGAAAGGGGAAGAUCAGGAAGAGAGCGGGGGUAGUAAAUGCGGCUGUUCAGUAAUAAACUGCAAGGAAAAAGAAUUUCCCUCUCCAUCCAGUUCCCAUCCGUGUUAACCACCAUUGCACAAGCCCUCCAGUUACACUAAACCUAACCAGGCAUAACCCUUGCAAAAACUCCUCACGUCCCAGGCUCCACGAGGCUGGCCUGCUUCCAGCUUUCCUCUGGUGCAUCAGAUACAGACCAGUAACUGGAACAAAAGCCUCCACGUCCGCGUUUUAACUGUCGCCUAAACCGGCUGUCUUCUGCCGACUGUCAUUGGAGACAGUGCCUGGCGGGUCAUACCGCACUGCAUUCUGGGGGAAAGUGGUUCGGUCAAGAUUGGCCAAGAUUCGAUCAGUUACAGUGAUGCCAAGACGCGCGGUGGAAGCUGUGCUCUUCAGCAGAGUGUACAGUGUGUCUCUGUGGGCCUGUGCUCCGGCGCCGCGGGGGUUAAUUCCAGGUGACCUCGUCGGCUCCACACGCAGUGACCUCUUU